rnacentral:rRNA from 1 species
GACGAACGCUGGCGGCGUGCUUAACACAUGCAAGUCGAACGGAAAGGCCCUGCUUUUGUGGGGUGCUCGAGUGGCGAACGGGUGAGUAACACGUGAGUAACCUGCCCUUGACUUUGGGAUAACUUCAGGAAACUGGGGCUAAUACCGGAUAGGAGCUCCGCUGCAUGGUGGGGGUUGGAAAGUUUCGGCGGUUGGGGAUGGACUCGCGGCUUAUCAGCUUGUUGGUGGGGUAGUGGCUUACCAAGGCUUUGACGGGUAGCCGGCCUGAGAGGGUGACCGGCCACAUUGGGACUGAGAUACGGCCCAGACUCCUACGGGAGGCAGCAGUGGGGAAUAUUGCACAAUGGGCGGAAGCCUGAUGCAGCAACGCCGCGUGCGGGAUGACGGCCUUCGGGUUGUAAACCGCUUUCGCCUGUGACGAAGCGUGAGUGACGGCAAUGGGUAAAGAAGCACCGGCUAACUACGUG